AUCACUUCUUGGCCUUUUAGCUAUGAUCAAAUGUAGUGUCUGUUCCUAUGUCUAAUACCUGAUAUGUCCUAUGUCUGAAGACAGUAUGUUCAAAUGAUUUUUAGGAGUAAGAGAUGUAGUAGAAGCUUGCUUCAUCCACUCUACACAUGGAUCUGGUAUUACAAGCACCUCCAAGGAACUGUGCAUUGGAG
ensembl:snRNA U2 U2 spliceosomal RNA